rnacentral:rRNA from 1 species
AACGAACGCUGGCGGCGGGCCUAAUACAUGCAAGUCGAACGAGAAAGCUCUUCGGAGUGAGUAUAGUGGCGCACGGGUGAGUAACACGUAGGUGAUCUACCUUUAGUGGGGAACAACAGUGAGAAAUCGCUGCUAAUACCGCAUAAGUAUAACGACUUUGGAAGGAGUUAUAGAAAGAGGGCUUCGGCUCUCGUUGAAAGAUGAGCCUGCGGGACAUUAGCUUGAUGGUGGGGUAACGGCUUACCAUGGCAACGAUGUCUAGCUGGUCUGAGAGGAUGAUCAGCCACACUGGAACUGAGACACGGUCCAG